rnacentral:rRNA from 1 species
CUACCAUGCAGUCGACGGUAACAGGAAGCAGCUUGCUGCUUUGCUGACGAGUGGCGGACGGGUGAGUAAUGUCUGGGAAACUGCCUGAUGGAGGGGGAUAACUACUGGAAACGGUAGCUAAUACCGCAUAACGUCGCAAGACCAAAGAGGGGGACCUUCGGGCCUCUUGCCAUCAGAUGUGCCCAGAUGGGAUUAGCUAGUAGGUGGGGUAACGGCUCACCUAGGCGACGAUCCCUAGCUGGUCUGAGAGGAUGACCAGCCACACUGGAACUGAGACACGGUCCAGACUCCUACGGGAGGCAGCAGUGGGGAAUAUUGCACAAUGGGCGCAAGCCUGAUGCAGCCAUGCCGCGUGUAUGAAGAAGGCCUUCGGGUUGUAAAGUACUUUCAGCGGGGAGGAAGGCGAUGCGGUUAAUAACCGCGUCGAUUGACGUUACCCGCAGAAGAAGCACCGGCUAACUCCGUGCCAGCAGCCGCGGUAAUACGGAGGGUGCAAGCGUUAAUCGGAAUUACUGGGCGUAAAGCGCACGCAGGCGGUCUGUCAAGUCGGAUGUGAAAUCCCCGGGCUCAACCUGGGAACUGCAUCCGAAACUGGCAGGCUUGAGUCUCGUAGAGGGGGGUAGAAUUCCAGGUGUAGCGGUGAAAUGCGUAGAGAUCUGGAGGAAUACCGGUGGCGAAGGCGGCCCCCUGGACGAAGACUGACGCUCAGGUGCGAAAGCGUGGGGAGCAAACAGGAUUAG